GGAUUACAGCGAUGGCUUUGGUGUGGCAAUACGGGGAACAAUCAGGGUAUGAAUCUUGGAAAGGACUCGCCUGGGGGAUGGUACCGUUGCUUGGUGGAGCAUUCUGCGCAUGCACAUGGCAUUUCUUUUAUAACUCCGAAUCUCUUGAGGUAUUGGUAGCUCUUCAAGCAGCAUUAACAGUUAUAGGUAAUGCCACAAUGUGCAUUGCUGCAUUCCGUAUAAACAU